rnacentral:rRNA from 1 species
UGAUAGUCAUCGACUUCUUAGAGAGACUCUUAUUCAGAAAAAUACAGGAAGUAAGGCAAUAACAGGUCUGUGAUGCCCUUAGAUGUUCUGGGCCGCACGCGCGCUACAAUGGUAUGUGUAAAGCGUAAAAAACUUUACAGGAAUGUCGGGUAAACCCGGAUUCCCUCUCUUAACUGGAAUAGAUGUUUGUAAUUAUUUGUCUUGAACGAGGAAUUUCUAGUAGUCGUGGUUCACUAAACCACGUCGAUUACGUCCCUGCCCUUUGUACACACCGCCCGUCGCUUCUACCGAUUGAAUGCUCCGGUGAAAUCGUCGGAUAAUUCUGUUUCAGAGGGGCAACCUUCAGAUACAUACGUAAAAGACGAGUAAACCAUAGUAUUUAGAGGAAGAAGAAGUCGUAACAAGGUCUCCGUAGGUGAACCUGCGGAGGGAUCAUUAAA